GCUGGGUGUGGUGGUGGGCGCCUGUAAUCCCACCUACUUGGGAAGCUGAGGCAGGAGAAUCGCUUGAACCCAGGAGGCAGAGGUUGCAGUGUAACCGAGAUCAUGCCACUGCAUUCCAGCCUGGGCAACAGAGCGAGACUCUGUCUCAA
rnacentral:SRP_RNA from 1 species